UACGAAGGGGGCUAGCGUUGCUCGGAAUCACUGGGCGUAAAGCGCACGUAGGCGGAUUGCUAAGUCAGGGGUGAAAUCCUGGAGCUCAACUCCAGAACUGCCUUUGAUACUGGUGAGCUUGAGUCCGGGAGAGGUGAGUGGAACUGCGAGUGUAGAGGUGAAAUUCGUAGAUAUUCGCAAGAACACCAGUGGCGAAGGCGGCUCACUGGCCCGGUACUGACGCUGAGGUGCGGAAGCGUGGGGAGCAAACAGG
rnacentral:rRNA from 1 species